GAUAAUUAAGACUUUCCGGUGCGUCAUUGAACCCUGAGCAGAUGGUCCAUUAUCGUCUUUUUUGUUGUAUCUGGAGACAAGUCCUGCAUCUGUCUAUAGGGGUUAAAAUGUCUAUCAAUAUUAGUUCUAUUUGGCUUUAUUAUAUAAGUUCUCAUGAUUGCCUUGUAUGUUUUUUAAGGAUGGGCAUUUUGAUCGAGAGAACUUCAGCAAAGGACCAAGCAUGACAUCAUCACCUGGGGAGACACAUUGUGCUGCAGUUUCUGCAUCCGCGUGGGUUGAACCACAUGGAAAAUGUACCGUGGCAUUUGCUGUUGCUUGGUCAUCUCCUCAAGUUAAAUUCAACAUCAUCACCUGGGGAGGCACAUUGUGCUGCAGUUUCUGCAUCCGCGUGGGUUGAACCACAUGGAAAAUGUACCGUGGCAUUUGCUGUUGCUUGGUCAUCUCCUCAAGUUAAAUUCAUGAAAGGAAAGUCAUAUUAUAGGUAAU
rnacentral:lncRNA from 1 species